rnacentral:rRNA from 1 species
GACGAACGCUGGCGGCGUGCUUAACACAUGCAAGUCGAACGGAAAGGCCUGCUUUCCCUUGUGGAUUGCGGGUACUCGAGUGGCGAACGGGUGAGUAACACGUGAGUGAUCUGCCCCCAACUUGGGUAUAAGCCUGGGAAACUGGGUCUAAUUCCCGAUAGGACUGCAGGGUGGUGCCUGUGGUGGAAAACGAUUUUCUAGUGGUUGGGGAUGAGCUCGCGGCCUAUCAGCUUGUUGGUGGGGUAAUGGCCUACCAAGGCGGCGACGGGUAGCCGGCCUGAGAGGGUGGACGGCCACAUUGGGACUGAGAUACGGCCCAGACUCCUACGGGAGGCAGCAGUGGGGAAUAUUGGACAAUGGGCGGAAGACUGAUGCAGCGACGCCGCGUGGGGGAUGACGGCCUUCGGGUUGUAAACUCCUUUCGACCGCGAGGAAGCCACCUGGUUGGAAGGGUGGUGACGGUAGUGGUAGAAGAAGCACCGGCUAACUACGUG